GUCUACGGCCAUGCUACUCUGAACAAGCCUGAUCCUGUCUGAUCUUGGAAGCUAAGCAGAGUCGGGCCUGGUUAGUACUUGGAUGGGCAACCGCCUAGGAAGACCAGGUGCUGUAGGCG
rnacentral:rRNA from 1 species